GGCCGGGUGACGACGGAUAGGCUCGAGGGAGGAAGGACAGAGAAGGUUCCGUCCAGGUCCAUCCAGUCCAGCUCGGCAGUGGGCGACGCGACUCGAUCCCGUGGACAGGACAGCGACUCCCUCCCCAACUCGUCGGUCCCGUCGCCCCCUUCCUCCCCGGCCGCCGCCCUCCUACUCCACCACUGCAGCCCUUCGUCACAUGGAAUCCGACGUCCCCAUUGCCACUGCUAUUACCACCCCAGGUCCGGAGCGAGAGUUGGCCGUUAGCUGCUCGCGGAGACACAGAUUUGGAGUUUUGAAGGCAUUGGAGAUUGCUAGGAUGAAGAGUAGACUUCUCUUUCUUUGUGCGAUGGUCUGUCUCAUGGUUCAGCUGGGAGCUGCCAAUGUAGUUCUAAUGGGGAAUAAUCUGACCUUGUCAUUCGAUGACAUUGAGGCAAGCUUUGCUCCAGGAGUGAAAGGAUCGGGUGUUAAUGGCAUAGUUUAUACUGCUGAACCUUUGAAUGCCUGCAGCACAUUGACAACCAAAGCACUCAAGGGUCCGCCGUCUCCAUUUGUGUUGAUUAUAAGAGGCGGGUGCACAUUUGAUGAGAAAGUAAGAAAUGCACAGGAUGCUGGAUUUAAAGCUGCAAUAGUAUACGACAAUGAAAAUAGCGGAGUUCUGGUUUCAAUGGCUGGAAGUUCAAGUGGUAUUCAUAUAUAUGCUAUGUUCGUCUCGAAGGCCUCAGGGGAGGUGCUGAAGAAAUUUUCAGGCCAUACUGACGUAGAGGUGUGGAUACUACCUGCGUUUGAGAACUCGGCCUGGUCGAUCAUGGCCAUCUCAUUCAUAUCACUCCUUGCCAUGUCUGCUGUACUAGCUACAUGUUUCUUUGUGAGAAGACAUCAUAUAAGGAGGGACCGUCCUAGAAUUCCAGAAGCUCGAGAAUUCCAUGGAAUGAGCAGUCAAUUAGUUAAGGCAAUGCCAAGUCUUAUUUUCACGAAAGUGCAAGAAGAUAAUUGCACAUCAUCAAUGUGUGCCAUUUGCUUGGAAGACUACAAUGUUGGAGAAAAGCUAAGAGUGCUGCCUUGCCGUCACAAGUUUCAUGCAGCUUGUGUGGACUUGUGGCUCACUUCUUGGAGAACAUUCUGUCCUGUGUGCAAGCGAGAUGCCAGGAAUGGAGUAUUAGACCUUCCUGCCUCAGAGACUACCCCGCUGCUCUCUUCUGCGGUUCGCUUACCUUCUCAACCAUCUUCAUUCCGGUCGAGUGUGGCAGCAUCCCCUCCCAGACCAAUAAGCCGCCGUCCUUCAUCGCAAUCUGUUACCCGUGCUUACUCUGUUUCUAGUACUCCCCACUCCCCCAACCCCCUUAGAUCUUACACAAACUCACCAGCCAUCGUUAUAAGUAGACGCAGCGCAGAACUUGCAAAUAUGUCAUCUCCCCAUCUGCGCAUCUCAUACAUUGCCUCUGCACACUCUUUGGUUGGCAACCACUUGUCUCCACCAAUCAGUAUAAGGUACUCGUCACCCCAUAUAUCCCAUUCUGGCUAUGGAUCACCCAGUCCACAUGUCAGUUCAUCCUAUAUCUCCAAUUCUGGGUAUGGAUCUUCAAGUUACUAUCUUGGAUCAUCCAGCCAGCAUCGCACAUACCUAAGGUGUCGUGGAGAAUCAGGGCCAAGCCUGUCUACCAUGGGCCCUCAAUCGCUACAACAGUCCCAGCUGCCCCAUGGUGAUUCAGAGACAAAUCUAGUAGGCACAUCAUCUGCUCAGUCCUUCCAGCAUUCCUACCUGAGACACUGUGCUGAUUCAGAAGCAAGUUUAUCUGACAUGACAUCAGCUCAGUCGUUGCCGGGAUGCUAACUGGUCCGGAUCAGCUUUUAUCUGUUCAAGAUAUGGCGUGACUUGUGCAUACAUUGAGGCAUGUAACACAGGUGGUUCUUUGGUAACAUCUUGGCUUCUUCCAUCCCUGCUUUGACAGGGUACCAUGCCCAAGUGAAGCUGUCGAUUGCGUACAGCAGGGCAGGGCAGCACCCCUUGCUUUGAUCUGGUGGCCAGUUGGAUGAAAUUCGUGGCCGAAUGCAGUCAACUUCAGGUUACCAGCUCCUUUGGCGUCUUGGAUUUUUUUCGUGAGCUUGAGAUCCCCCGAGUCCUGAGGGUUCAACACGUUCAGAUCACCUACUGAGCGCUGGCUGGGUGCUGCUCCAAAUCAGUUGAGGCAAUGUUGUUGGUUUUUGUCUGUCUUUUCCCUCCUUUCCCGGGCUACAUCAGAUUCAGUAUCAUGCAUGCAUGCAUGUUCCAGUCUUCUUGUCAUCACUCUCCUGAGCUGAGCAUCCUGGCGGUAUCAUCAUGUUCAAAUUUCACAAGCUAGUGACCGGUUUA